AGAUUCUGCCAUAGAUAUAUGCAGACAUGAUUUACAUAAAAACUAUCUAACUUAGUAAAUUCCUUUUACCAAAUUCGAAAGGAAUGGAAGUUUGGAAGCGAUCGUUCAAUUUCUCGAUGCGACGCACCAAGGCAGAGGGAUCCAAAUUGAAAGUCACUUGAGAAAUGAUUUUCCGAGUUUGUCGGAUCUUCUGAUAAACUGCAGACGCUUCCUGACUGCUCAUUGCUUCACAAGUUAAAUGUGUAAUAUGUAGGUCUUUAUGUAUAAAUAUAAACGGGUAACUUUUACUACUGAAUCUUGGUUUUCCAUUUCUAUUUAUAUUUUCCUCCGCCUCUUAUACCAUCUUAGCCUUUAAUGCAAAACGGCAUGAAACAUAAAAUAAAACCCACUUUACGACUCAAAUUGAAAUCCCCAAUCUCAUACAUAAAUAUUGACUGUAAAGUGUUUUUUUAAGUUCUAUAAAUAUUAUCAGAAAAGGCAAUGUUAACUUAAAAUGUGCAUAACUAAAGUGGUUUUGUGUAGUGUUUUAAUACUUGCAUCACUUUCGUUAUGUCAAGCAUCAAAGAGUGCCGAUGCUUUAGCAAUAACAUUCGAUACAACAGUUGCUUUCUACGAAAUGUACAUGACGUGUGUAAACUCAGAGAUUCCUUCAAUGAAGUUUGCUACAGACGAUCUUAAAAGCUUCGUAAACUAUCCAUCCAAAACGACGGUGGGGUUUGCACCGAAAUUUACAAGUAACCGUAGGUUUUUUGCAAAUAUGGUGAGCCAUCCAGAAUUCAGAAAUACGCUUGCUAGAGAUGAAGAGGAACUCAGAGCGGCCAUGAUAAAGAAGAUGAGAUAUUGUGACUCAGUUGUAAUGGAUCAAGAAUUGCUACAACCUAUGUAUGAAAGAGAAGUGGACCAGUCGAAAAUAUAGACCUAUUUUGAUGAGCAAAUUUUUUUUAUUAUUUAUCUGAAUUAGGUUAGCAACGGGGGGCUGCUGGAAUGUUCGAAGGUG